UUUCUUCCAGUUCAGGUCCAGGAGUGAGAGGUGAGGUUUUUCCUGUUCCCUGACAGCACAUAGACACCACUUUAGAUGGUCUAAAUCAGCAUAGCUCUGAGCCCAAGUCUCCUGCAAGUGAUGAGCCAAAUGCCAUGCCAGCCAGAGCUAUGGGAACAGGCUCUGCUUGGAGAGAACACCCACUCACAUGGGCGGCCUUUUCUGAGAACCGGAAGAUAUGAGGAGAGAAGCAGUCUGCUACCUGAGAUGAUGUGCCCAAAGAUGAGGUACUUUUUUACUCUUCCAUAAUGUAAAUAUUAACUAGGGUGGCCUGGUUGGGUUGCCAAAGUGCAUAUUUUAAUGACUGUGUGCUUUCUUCUGCUUGGCCUCCUUUAUGGAAAAUGGAGAUGUAGGAGGACAGUGAAGAGAGGUAUCAUGGGGGGCAGAUUGAGCUAAGAAGGAAAUCAUGAGGGGCAUUUCAUACAGUUCUAUUGGAUGUUCCAGUAUGGGAGGUGAUUUUGAGAGCACGAUGGAAGCCUCAGCCACUGCAAAUGUUUCAUGCAGUCUUGAGUAAAACAAUAUGGAACAGAACUCCUCUGAUUUUGUAGUUCAAAAUGACAGAGCCAUUUUCCAUUUGCUUAUGUUCCCUGGAAGGGUGCCUUUUCUAGACAGAAACAGUUAUGCAUGUACUUCCUUCCAAAGAGGACUUUGCUGGUCUUUUCUAAAAAAUUUGGUAUUUCAUGGUGUUUAUCCACAGUGAUUUCCAGAUAUAUCAGUAAAUUUCAAACAGUCUCAGAGACAAUACCUUGCUUUUCACUGGAGAUGUGUAUUGCUGUUUCCUACUUCCUGAAUCCCUUUAAACACUGUGAAAUUCUCAGCACAAUAAAAAGUGAUGCUUUUGAAAUAUUUUCCUUAGCUGAGGUCUGUAUCUUCCACUGAUGUGAGAGGUAUUUUGUCUAUAUGGGGGAAAGAUGAGGCAGGACCUUUAACUCAAAAAUUACUCUCUUUAAAAAGCAGUGCUGCAAACCUCCCUAGAAUCACUGAAAAUAAUAAGGAAAAUAUCUUGCAUGGAGUAACUUAGUAUUAAUUUGUAAAAAUAAAGUAAUUUAGCCAGCAUGUUAAGCAAUAUUCUGUUAUUUCUAGUAAAAUAACUGAUGAGGGACUUCAGAUAUCCUAGAGAGCACUAUUAAACAGAAAAUUCUGCAGAAUUCUGCCUUCAUUUACAAAUCCAGGCUGAUUUCUGAGACCUCUCCAUGCACAUCCUAUGAGAGCUUGAUGUUAAUCAAUACUGGAUGAAAAAGAUUUGAUUUGUAAACAGAAGGCUUAGUGAUCAAAAGUAACAUGUUAGGGAAGAAACACUUUUGCUAACUGUUAUGUAUUGUGCUCUUUAUUUCCUAUUUUAUUUUUAGUGGUCUGAACAACAUGAUAUUAAAAUGCUGACAUGUGUCUUCCCCCCUUCUGGUCAUCUGAUCUCAAACAAUUGUUCGAAUCCUGAAAAAGAGGUUGCUUUAUUAUUAUUUUUGUUCUUUCACAUGAUGAGAAAUCCUCCUGAGCAGAGAGUUGGUAUCUGUGGAAAGCAUCUGACUUCUGAACAGAUUGUGGGUUAAAGGAGUCAAAGGAGUCACUUGGACGAUACAAAUAAGUAUUCAUUUAUUAUAUGCAAAUAUAACAGGUUGACAUAAAACCCAUGACUUCACUCAA